rnacentral:rRNA from 1 species
AUUGAACGCUAGCGGGAUGCCUUACACAUGCAAGUCGAACGAGUGGCGGACGGGUGAGCAAUAUAUCGGAACGUGCCCAGUAGCGGGGGAUAACUACUCGACAGAGUGGCUAAUACCGCACACUAUUGGAUCGGCCGAUAUCGGAUUAGCUAGUUGGUGGGGCAAAGGCUCACCAAGGCAACGAUCCGUAGCGGGUUUGAGAGGACGACCAGCCACACUGGGACUGAGACACGGUCCAGACUCCUACGGGAGGCAGCAGUGGGGAAUUUUGGACAAGGGGCGAAACCCUGAUCCAGCCAUGCCGCGUGUAUGAGAAGGCCUUCGGAUUGUAAAGUACUUUUAGCAGGGAAGCGGUAUCUGCAGAAUAAGCACCGGCUAACUACGUGCCAGCAGCCGCGGUAAUAC